rnacentral:lncRNA from 1 species
GAAAAUGCAUGCAUGAUGCAUGGGAGAGAUGAUGAUAGUUGAAGUUGAAAUGGUAUUUUUGGUAUGAAGUUGGGAAAGAGAGAAGAAAAAGGAGGGAACGGAAGAUUUUUUAUGUAUAAGCCGUUUUUUUAGUUUUGUUUGUAUGCAUAUAGAGCAUCCCACAAAUCUAGGUGCACAUCAUUGCCAAACAUUUUUCUCAUUUGUUUAAGUUACAACAAUUGUAAAAAAAAUUAUUCAGUCGUCUAAUAAAAAACCAUCAAUUUAUUAAA